rnacentral:rRNA from 1 species
GACGAACGCUGGCGGCGUGCCUAAUACAUGCAAGUCGAACGCAGUGGGGACGGGUGAGUAACACGUGGGUAACCUCCCAUCAGAGGGGAUAACACUUGGAAACAGGUGCUAAACCGAUACUGAUGGAUGGACCCGCGGUGCAUUAGCUAGUUGGUGAGGUAACGGCUCACCAAGGCCACGAUGCAUAGCCGACCUGGUGGGGUGAGAGGCCAAGAUGAGACCGAGACACGGACCAGAAUGCGAGGGGAGGAAGCAGUAGGGAAUCUUCGGCAAUGGACGAAAGGCUGACGGAGCAAAGCAGGGUGAAUGAAGAAGGCUUUCGGAUCGUAAACACCUUUUGGUAGAGAAGCGGUAGCUAACCAGAAAGCAACGGCUAACUACGUGCCAGCAGCCGCGGUAAUUC